ensembl:lncRNA
UCCUUAGUUCCUAUAUCCCCGUGUCCACUCAGUGUUUGUGUCUGCCCUGGUCCCACGUCUCUGUUCCCUCUGUAGUGCCUACAUGUGAGGCUGUGUCUUUGUUCAGUCUGUGUUAUGUGUUUCCUGUUUUACUUUGAAGGUCUCUGUCUUUUCUCAGUGUGUUCAGUUUACGCUUCUUUGGUCUCGUCAGUUCUGAUUUGUCCCAGCUGUGUUUCCCUCCUGUUACUCAUUCCCUGAUUGCUCCCUCUGUGUAUUUAAGCCCUGUGUUUCUCUGUGUCCGUGUCGCGAUCUACCGUUUAUUUUGCUGUGUGUGUUGCCUGUCCACCGGUCUCUAUCUCCGCCUGAAAGCGCCUGAAAGCAGCAUGAUGAAGGCGGUUCCUGUGUCGGUUGGGUGGGGGCUAUAAAAGGUGCGACUGCGCGCCUCCUGUUUCAAUUGCCUUUCCUCCAUCGAGCGCAGCAGUUUCCCAUCACAUCAGCAUGAAGAAGCUAAGCAUCGUUUUCGUCGCAGUCCUGCUGCUGGCUCUCAAUCUUACCUCCCAGGUGGCCGAGGCACAAGGUAAAAGCGGAACCGGAGGCACCAACACCCAGAACUCGACUACAGCCGCACCGUCGAGCGCCAGCGGGAGUCCCGCCGCCUUCACGCUGCUCGUCGCUCCGCUGCUUCUGUCCACGGUUCUCCUGCACGGCUGGUCCGGAUGAUCUGAUCCGCGCUGGACAUUCGGAAGCCGGCAGGGGACACAACGUUAGUGUUUAAUAAAAGGCAGAAAAAGGAAAUCACAUAAAGUAGGGAGCUUAACUAUUUACUGUUGAGCGGGCGAAACGAGCGCGACGCGCCCCGGGCCCCGUCGCGCCCCGGGCCGCGCCCUGCUCCUUUCCGCAUCCUGCUCUUCAUCAACUCUGAAACGCAACCAAUCCUCCCGCCAGUAACGGAACAUGCUCGAUGAUAAUUCAGAAAUAUUGAACCCUGUGGAAAACAUGUGUAUUCAUGUGUCUGACAACGACUGUAUGUAAAUGAGUUCUGUACUUUCAGAAUGAUGCAAAUCUGAUGUUUGACAUGUGAAUGCUGUGAAAUUAAACUUUAAAUUGUAAAAAAUA